CCUACGGGAGGCAGCAGUGAGGAAUAUUGGUCAAUGGGCGAAAGCCUGAACCAGCCAAGUCGCGUGAGGGAUGAAUGUUCUAUGGAUUGUAAACUUCUUUUAUAAGGGAAUAAAAUGUGGGACGUGUCCCAUUUUGUAUGUACCUUAUGAAUAAGGAUCGGCUAACUCCGUGCCAGCAGCCGCGGUAAUACGGAGGAUCCGAGCGUUAUCCGGAUUUAUUGGGUUUAAGGGGUGCGUAGGUGGCCUGUUAAGUCAGCGGUGAAAGUUUGUGGCUCAACCGUAGAAUUGCAGUUGAUACUGGGAGGCUUGAGUAUAGUUGAGGCAGGCGGAAUUCGUGGUGUAGCGGUGAAAUGCUUAGAUAUCACGCAGAACCCCGAUUGCGAAGGCAGCCUGCUAAGCCGUGACUGACGCUGAUGCACGAAAGCGUGGGUAUCAAACAGGAUUAGAUACCCGAGUAGUC
rnacentral:rRNA from 1 species